UACGAAGGGGGCUAGCGUUGCUCGGAAUCACUGGGCGUAAAGGGUGCGUAGGCGGAUCUUUAAGUCAGGGGUGAAAUCCUGGAGCUCAACUCCAGAACUGCCUUUGAUACUGAAGAUCUUGAGUUCGGGAGAGGUGAGUGGAACUGCGAGUGUAGAGGUGAAAUUCGUAGAUAUUCGCAAGAACACCAGUGGCGAAGGCGGCUCACUGGCCCGGUACUGACGCUGAGGUGCGAAAGCGUGGGGAGCAAACAGG
rnacentral:rRNA from 1 species